AGAGUUUGAUCCUGGCUCAGGAUGAACGCUAGCGGCAGGCCUAAUACAUGCAAGUCGAACGAGAUUAAGAGGCUUGCUUCUUAUGAAAGUGGCGCACGGGUGCGUAACGCGUAUGCAACCUACCUUAAUCAGGGGGAUAGCCCGAAGAAAUCCGGAUUAAGACCGCAUAAAAACACAGGAUAGCAUUAUCCAAUGUUCAAAUAUUUAUAGGAUUAAGAUGGGCAUGCGUGUCAUUAGCUAGUUGGCGGGGUAACGGCCCACCAAGGCGACGAUGACUAGGGGAUCUGAGAGGAUGACCCCCCACACUGGUACUGAGACACGGACCAGACUCCUACGGGAGGCAGCAGUAAGGAAUAUUGGUCAAUGGAGGGAACUCUGAACCAGCCAUGCCGCGUGCAGGAAGACAGCCCUCUGGGUCGUAAACUGCUUUUAUUCGGGAAUAAACGUGCCAGCAGCCGCGGUAAUACGGAGGAUCCAAGCGUUAUCCGGAUUUAUUGGGUUUAAAGGGUGCGUAGGCGGCUUAUUAAGUCAGGGGUGAAAGACGGUGGCUCAACCAUCGCAGUGCCCUUGAUACUGAUGAGCUUGAAUACACUAGAGGUAGGCGGAAUGUGACAAGUAGCGGUGAAAUGCAUAGAUAUGUCACAGAACACCGAUUGCGAAGGCAGCUUACUAUGGUGUUAUUGACGCUGAGGCACGAAAGCGUGGGGAUCAAACAGGAUUAGAUACCCUGGUAGUCCACGCCCUAAACGAUGAAUACUCGCUGUUAGCGAUAUACAGUUAGCGGCUAAGCGAAAGCGUUAAGUAUUCCACCUGGGGAGUA
rnacentral:rRNA from 1 species